rnacentral:rRNA from 1 species
GACGAACGCUGGCGGCGUGCUUAACACAUGCAAGUCGAACGGAAAGGCCCUGCUUUUGUGGGGUGCUCGAGUGGCGAACGGGUGAGUAACACGUGAGUAACCUGCCCUUGACUUUGGGAUAACUUCAGGAAACUGGGGCUAAUACCGGAUAGGAGCUCCUGCUGCAUGGUGGGGGUUGGAAAGUUUCGGCGGUUGGGGAUGGACUCGCGGCUUAUCAGCUUGUUGGUGGGGUAGUGGCUUACCAAGGCUUUGACGGGUAGCCGGCCUGAGAGGGUGACCGGCCACAUUGGGACUGAGAUACGGCCCAGACUCCUACGGGAGGCAGCAGUGGGGAAUAUUGCACAAUGGGCGGAAGCCUGAUGCAGCAACGCCGCGUGCGGGAUGACGGCCUUCGGGUUGUAAACCGCUUUCGCCUGUGACGAAGCGUGAGUGACGGUAAUGGGUAAAGAAGCACCGGCUAACUACGUGCCAGCAGCCGCGGUGAUACGUAGGGUGCGAGCGUUGUCCGGAUUUAUUGGGCGUAAAGGGCUCGUAGGUGGUUGAUCGCGUCGGAAGUGUAAUCUUGGGGCUUAACCCUGAGCGUGCUUUCGAUACGGGUUGACUUGAGGAAGGUAGGGGAGAAUGGAAUUCCUGGUGGAGCGGUGGAAUGCGCAGAUAUCAGGAGGAACACCAGUGGCGAAGGCGGUUCUCUGGGCCUUUCCUGACGCUGAGGAGCGAAAGCGUGGGGAGCGAACAGGCUUAGCUACCCUGGUAGUCCACGCUGUAAACGGUGGGUACUAGGUGUGAGGUCCAUUCCACGGGUUCCGUGCCGUAGCUAACGCUUUAAGUACCCCGCCUGGGGAGUACGGCCGCAAGGCUAAAACUCAAAGGAAUUGACGGGGCCCCGCACAAGCGGCGGAGCAUGCGGAUUAAUUCGAUGCAACGCGUAGAACCUUACCUGGGUUUGACAUGGAUCGGGAGUGCUCAGAGAUGGGUGUGCCUCUUUUGGGGUCGGUUCACAGGUGGUGCAUGGCUGUCGUCAGCUCGUGUCGUGAGAUGUUGGGUUAAGUCCCGCAACGAGCGCAACCCUUGUUCACUGUUGCCAGCACGUUAUGGUGGGGACUCAGUGGAGACCGCCGGGGUCAACUCGGAGGAAGGUGGGGAUGACGUCAAGUCAUCAUGCCCCUUAUGUCCAGGGCUUCACGCAUGCUACAAUGGCUGGUACAGAGAGUGGCGAGCCUGUGAGGGUGAGCGAAUCUCGGAAAGCCGGUCUCAGUUCGGAUUGGGGUCUGCAACUCGACCUCAUGAAGUCGGAGUCGCUAGUAAUCGCAGAUCAGCAACGCUGCGGUGAAUACGUUCCCGGG